rnacentral:misc_RNA from 1 species
GAUGAAGAACGCAGCGAAAUGCGAUAAUUAAUGUGAAUUGCAGAUUUCAGUGAAUCAUCGAGUCUUUGAACGCACAUUGCGCCCCCUGGUAUUCCGGGGGGCAUGCCUGUCCGAGCGUCAUUGCUGCCCUCAAGCACGGCUUGUGUGUUGGGCCUCCGUCCUCCUCCCGGGGGACGGGCCCGAAAGGCAGCGGCGGCACCGCGUCCGGUCCUCGAGCGUAUGGGGCUUCGUCACCCGCUCUUGUAGGCCCGGCCGGCGCUUGCCGACACAUCAAUCUUUUUUCCAGGUUGACCUCGGAUCAGGUAGGGAUACCCGCUGAACUUAAGCAUAUCAAUAAGCGGAGGA